ACGUAUGUAUGUAUGUAUGCGCACGUAUAUACGUUUUAGCUCUCACAGUGCUUUUGAGUGCAGCUACGAAUUGAGGCAGCUUGUUAGUCGCACGUGUUGCGUUCGAACGAAUAAAAUUGAUUCCAUGAGAGGCCGGUCCGAAGUUUCUCGACCUCGUUUGCGAGUUAUUUAGGUUCACUCGUAAGCUGUAGUUAGGCGUGUUUCUUUAAGAAAAAGAACAAAGAAAGAAAGAAAGAAAAAAUCAAAGUAACUCAUCCUAAAAACAUAUUCUACAAAGAUAAGUAAUAUGAUUAUUACGAUUCGACGAUUCUUAAUCUAAGAUUAAUGUCUGACGUAUUAUAACAAUACGAGAAGUGUUUUUACCGUGUUAGAAAAGUUAACGUUGUCGGUGAAAGGAAUGAAAAGGAAAGGGGAAAUUCUCCGCAUCUACGAAUCGCCGAAAACGUGUACAUGAAUAAUUCAAGGCGUGGCAAAAUCUACCGAGACAUUUUCCGAUCUAAUUUCGGUAAAGGGGAUAUGACGAAUGGAAGAGAUUUCUGUUAACGGCGCCAACAUUUCGCUGUAGCUUUGCCCGUUAGCCUCGAAUGAAGACAUAUUUCCCGUAACACGACUCGGCUACUAAUGUUCCUUGAGUUUGUUAAAUAUAACCAACCACGUUACUCCUACUUGGCAUCGCCGUCGAGAGAAUUAUGCCGGUACGCCUUGUUAUACAUUGGGACAAAAUCGGAAAAGAUAGAAAACAUACGAGCCGUUUCGUGUAAAAGUUUUUCCGGGAGAUAAGGGAGAGAAGAAGCGUAACGGGACGAUCAUUCAACGAAAUAACGAUAUCCUGCCUGGAGGACAAGUUUCGACAAAAUCGAAGGAAAUACGGAAGUCACCUCCAUUACCGAAAAGCGGGCUGCGAGGAAUUCCGGAGAAUCCAAGUUGAAACGGUCGAGGGAUGGUGGGAGUUGAACGCGGAGGGUGAAGAGGCAAGAGGGAAGCAAGAGGGUGGCAAGAGGGAGACUGAGGAGGAGGAGGAAGAGCGAACCGCAUCCGGCGGACUCCCCAAAGAGAUAUAAGAUGGCGAUUUAUGUUCGCAGUUUGCGAACGUGGCUCGGGAGAAACAUUAUUUACCGGAGCCAAGCGAGAGAUGGGCAGUCAGAAAUUUUCAGCGGUUGAAAGAACGAACGAAAAAAUUCCUGAACCGGCGAUGCUGGCGGUAGCGGCCGCUCGGCUGGGGUUGUUGGUUGGCUGUCUCGUCGAUGUAUUGUAUUCUCUACUUUUUCACACUUAUACAAAAAAUAUAAUAAUAAUGAAGGAAAUGUGAUAGGAUGAGAAAAAAGAAACAUAUAUAUAAGAGAUGAAAAGUGAAAUAAUCAUGACAAUGAUCUUCUUUUUCUCCUCCUUGGUUGAGGGGUCAAAAAAGUACACUUUGUUUUAUUACAUCUACGAGAGCUAAUUAAUAAAAACGUGGAAAAAAUGAAUUGGGACAAUAGUUUUUGA
rnacentral:lncRNA from 1 species